AUUGAACGCUGGCGGCAUGCCUUACACAUGCAAGUCGAACGGCAGCACGGGUGCUUGCACCUGGUGGCAAGUGGCGAACGGGUGAGUAAUACAUCGGAACAUGUCCUGUAGUGGGGGAUAGCCCGGCGAAAGCCGGAUUAAUACCGCAUACGAUCUACGGAUGAAAGCGGGGGACCUUCGGGCCUCGCGCUAUAGGGUUGGCCGAUGGCUGAUUAGCUAGUUGGUGGGGUAAAGGCCUACCAAGGCGACGAUCAGUAGCUGGUCUGAGAGGACGACCAGCCACACUGGGACUGAGACACGGCCCAGACUCCUACGGGAGGCAGCAGUGGGGAAUUUUGGACAAUGGGCGAAAGCCUGAUCCAGCAAUGCCGCGUGUGUGAAGAAGGCCUUCGGGUUGUAAAGCACUUUUGUCCGGAAAGAAAUCCUUGGCUCUAAUACAGUCGGGGGAUGACGGUACCGGAAGAAUAAGCACCGGCUAACUACGUG
rnacentral:rRNA from 1 species